AGUUAUAUAUUCAAGAAUGAUAUUAAAUUGCAAAUUUAAAGGUAAAUUUAUAAUUUUAUAGCUU
rnacentral:tRNA from 1 species